AACGAACGCUGGCGGCAUGCCUAACACAUGCAAGUCGAACGAGACCUUCGGGUCUAGUGGCGCACGGGUGCGUAACGCGUGGGAACCUGCGCUGAGGAUCGGAAUCACUCUUCGAAAGGGGUGCUAGUAACUGAGAAUGAUACUGGACCAAGGUAUUAUCGCCGUUGGAUGGGCCCCCGUUGGAUUAGGUAGUUGGUAGGGUAAAAGCCUUCUAAGGUGAUGAGUCAUAGCUGGUCUGAGAGGAUGAUCAGCCACGCUGGGACCGAGACACGGCCCAGACUCCUACGAGAGGCAGCAGUGGGGCAUUUUGGGCAAGGGGCGUACGCCUGAUCCGGCAAUGCCGCGUGGGUGAUGAAGGCCUUAGGGUUGUUAAGCUCUUUUACACGGCAUGAUAAGAACAGUGCCGGAGGAGUAAGCCCCGCCAACCUCCUU
rnacentral:rRNA from 1 species